rnacentral:rRNA from 1 species
UACGUAGGGGCGAGCGUUGUCCGGAAUGAUUGGGCGUAAAGGGCGCGUAGGCGGCCAUGCAAGUCUGGAGUGGAAGUCCAUCUUUCAAGGGUGGAAUUGCUUUGGAAACUGUGUGGCUGGAGUGCAGGAGAGGUUAUCGGAAUUCCCGGUGUAGCGGUGAAAUGCGUAGAGAUCGGGAGGAACAUCAGUGGCGAAGGCGGGUAACUGGACUGCAACUGACGCUGAGGCGCGAAAGUGUGGGGAGCAAACAGGAUUAGAUACCCU